rnacentral:pre_miRNA from 2 species
CACCUGCUCAGGCUGGCCGGCCCCCAGGCUGGGCUGGGUGAGUAUCUCUUUGAAAGGCUCACCCUCAAGCAUGACUAGGAGC